AUACCCAUGGAAAGACGUGAUUCCGAUGCUUAUGCGAUAUCAUUGUUUAGUUUCUUUGCCAUUGAGGCUGAGAUAAAACCUUCUAUAGCCUAGGAGACUGAUCAUGAAUUGAUUAAGCUAUUCACUUUCUGUACAAUAUAAUAUUUUUUUUUACAUUGGGUUAAGCCAUGGAAGAAGAGUAGCCAGCAGUUAAAGCUUACAUUUGUCCGCGUCGGUUGGCCUACUCGUUCUAAGGGUGGAAAGGUAGGCCUGACUUUUACCACGCUCAGUUUCCUAACGACGUCUCAUAUUUAAUUAUUUGCAAAUAGGGACAGUUUCGUUGCAAACAAGACACACUGAUUUGGCAUUGGAGAAAUGUGAUAAAAUUAACACAAGGGCCUAUCUCUCUGUCCAUUCUUAGCCUGUAAUGUCGGUAGUUUGUGUGGUAUUAACAAAUAUUGAGAUUCGGAUCAUGUGACUUGAGACUUGUUUGUGACUCGAACAAUAGUGACUUGGUCCUCCCCCUGAGUGGUACAGAUAAGGAGCGAAAUUAAUAUUCCUUAUCGUUUAUGAAAUGGAGAAUGUUCAUAGAAAUCCGAACUGACGAUGUCCACUCCACUCCUGUAGGUAGCGACAUUGCAGAAUGCGUUAAGCCGUGGUGCGCACUCUACGCAUGCUUUUUUUUUGGCACAGCAGAUCCAUGAACAUCUAUCAUUGAUGAACGAAGUUGUUGUCAAAUAAUAGCGUCGUCACUGAUUGUUAGUUAGCUAGCACUAGCAUUCUGUAAACAUGUCUAAAAUACAGUUGUUGAGAGCGUUUCUCAACCAGCGGCUAACUGUGGCUGCUGAUGAGAUAUUCGGGGCAGUUGAAAAAACGAUAGCUGAGUACCAGGAAGAGGUUUCCCGUUCGAAAAAGGAGAACGACCGUCUACAGAAUAUUCUUGACAUCGUUAUUAAACCUGAGAUAAAGUUACAAAGAGCAGACCUCCAGCAGCUCACUGUAUUGGACGAGGAGGUUCACCCUGAGCAGCAGCCCUGUGUGCAGGAUUGGAGCCCUAGUCUUGGACAGGAGGACAGCGAGCCCAUAUGGAUCAAAAAGGAGCAGGAGGAACUCAAAAAGCAACUUCAGUGGCUGGAGUCUGACACCAGAGAGUUCAUAUUUGAUCCUUUCUGUGUAAGUGAUUAUGAUCAGGACCCAACUCAGCCCUUGCAAAUCCAAAGUGAGGAAAAUAGGGAGAGAGAUUCUCAACCAAACGUUGUAACUGGACAGAUCAAAACAGAACCUGAUGAAGAGGACUACAGAAUAUCAGAACCAACCUGUUCUUCAGCUCAGAGUACAAAUAGUGAACAUGUCAAUGGAAUGGAAAGCAAAGGAGCCCAGUCUCUUUUAAAGUCACACAAACCAAAGACCACAAAAAAACAAAAAAGAAAACAAACUUAUAGCAGUGCAAAUGGCAUGAAAUGUACUCCCUGUUCUUGUAAGGUUUGUGGCAGGUCUUUUCGGUACAAGCGUCCCUUUUUUAAUCAUGUGCAAAGUCAUGCACAUAUAGAGGAUAAAGAACGUGUCUGUGGUGUGUGUGGAAAGCACCUAGAUUCUAAAGAGAAUAUGAAAGAUCACCUCCAAACUCACAUCGUAGCUGAGCCUGAGUUUUGUCAUGUUUGUGGUAAAACGUUCACCACGAAGCUUAGGCUGAAAAAGCACAUGAGGGUUCACACAGGAGAGAAACCAUAUCGCUGCGAUGAUUGUGGCAGGUGUUUCAGUGAUGCCGCCAAUUUGAUCGGACACAAAAGGACUCACACGGGCGAGAAACCAUAUUGCUGCCAGGAAUGUGGCCAAGGAUUCACUCAAAGUGGACAUCUGGUUUUGCACAGGAGGAGACAUACUGGGGAGAAGCCAUAUCUCUGUUCUGUUUGUGGCAAAAGUUUCAGCACCAGAUCAAAUUAUACAGGACACAUGAGAGUUCACACAGGGGAGAAACCAUAUAGCUGCCAUGAUUGUAGCAAAUGUUUCAGCAAUACUGCUAAUCUGAGUGCGCACAGGAGGAUUCAUACAGGGGAGAAACCAUAUUGUUGUGAUUAUUGUGGCAAAGGAUUUGCUCAGAAUGGAAAUCUUAAAAUGCACAUGAAGACACACAGGAAAUAAAUCUUAUAGGCUAAUUGCUGUAUUUGUGAGAAAUAUCUCAGCACUGACAUCCACCCAACUUGAGAAUCCAAGAGAGAAAUACAUCUCUUUCGUGACUGUGGCAAAGCCUUUGCACAAUGGAAAUUUGGCAAGGCAUAAUGAGAAUGUACAAAAUGUAUAACGUGUCAGAACUCAGCAUGAACAACAAAAUUUCAACAGUUUGAUAACACUGGAGAUAACUGUGAUCUGGCUCAUCUGACAGUGAUUGAGGUUUCACACACAGUGGUGAGAGACUAUACAAGUGUCCUAUAGAAAAUGCUUUAUCACAAGUGUAUUAACUAGGUGUCAAAGGAGCCUAGUUGAGGAAAAAUUGUAGGCCUACAUGCAAUCCCUGCUUCAAGUUCUUCAAAUGGACUCACUAGGAAGGCACAUUCACAACAGGGAGAAAACAUGUCAGGGCCUUCAGGGAAAGGGCAUCAGACAGAGGAUUGAGAAGCAUAUUCUCACUUCCACCAGUAAGAAGAGAUGGGAUCUAGUACAUACCCACAAGAACCCAGCUCUUGGAUCAACAAGAUAUGACUGUACUAGCUUGAACUUACAGAACAUUGCUAGAAGUCCACAUGAACAUUGUGCAACAGAUUGCUGAGCAGCAGGAGUCCCUGCUUAUUAGUAUGACACAGGACACACGUUUGAGCUGCUGUCCUGUGUCUUGAAAACAAAACUUUGCAUUUUUUGUCUUGAAAGUAAAAUGCCUUCUCCAGUAAUACAUCAUAUAUGUUUUUAACACUGUUGUGAUGUUGUUGUCUUACUUUUCAAAGUGUCCGUUACUUCAUGGCUUUCAUACCAAAACUAUAGUCAUACCUCUGAGUUUGAUGUCAAUUUGCCUGCAAAGAAAAUAAAUACUUGUCUAUUUCAUUGUAUAUGUAUUGACAGGUAUAAAUACUUAGUAUGCUAUGUUCCAGGUGAACUAUUAAAUGUGCAUGGGCUACCAUCUGAAAUGUGUGCUUCUUAUUUCAACCAGAAACUUAAAUAUGAUAAAAUAUGAAAAUGUAUGAUCAUUUUUAGAUCAUACAUUUUCCAGACAUCCAGAACGUGGCACAGAAUAAAUAACAGAUAUGCUGUAAUGGGAAAUUAUUUGGCUAAUUCUUUCCCUGUGUUUGAUUUACUGUUGAUAUGUAAUAAACAUAAUUGUGUGGGAAGACACAGACAGAUGCAUUCCCUAUGUUUAAGUCGCUUUGUGCCUGUUAGUAUAAAAUGAUCUAUUGUAACUAACUAUUUAUGAUAUUAUUUUUGACCUGUUUAACUGCCAGUAUGAAAUGUCUGCAGGUGUUUAAUGUUAUGGUUAAAGUUUGACCCAAGACUGGAUUUAAGGACACAUUGAUAAUGUAUCUGUGCCACUGUGAUUCUGUAGCAGCUGAUGUGACUUCCUUCAAGCCUCUGGCUGGUGUUUACAGAACAUUCGGUGCUUUGUGAUUAAUAUAUAAGGAGCGUUAGACAUUUUCUAUGCUUCUUCUGUAGGUGUUUCCCUCAAUUGUUGUAUUAAACCGGAUUGAUUUAGAUUUGACUUCAUCAACAACUGCACUCCUUUUUGUUCACCUGGACAUUCCUGUUACAUAAUGUUAAUUGAUAACUCAUAAGUCAUAAAUAGCUAUCAGUUAUUUAUCUCAUUUUCUGCUCCAAUUAAAUUGAUCAUAAUUUUGACUUUUAAUUUGAAAUUCAUACAAUAAAUUAUACCGGAAGUUAGACCCAGCGGUCAGUUUCGUUCCACAUCACAUCCGCUGAGCAACAGCACAGCAGAAGUCAAUUUUUGUGUUUUUGUAUUUCUGAGCACAGCAGUGCAGUAAACACUUUCAACAACUCCUACAUCUUUCCUACAUCGGCAUCCGUUACUCUAAUGAAAUCUGGUGUCCCAAAGGGUGAGAACUGCCUUGUAGACAUGGACUCCAAGGCAGGGGAUCUCUUCAGCGCUGAGCCAGCCGACGCUGCUGGAUCGGGAGGUGUCAUGGGAAGGCUGUGGCUGCCCAAAGGCCUCUCGCCCAGUGUGGCCAAGGAGUGGUUUGAUCGUCGCCGUGCGUCCAUCCGUCCCUGGGCUGGCUUCGUGGAUCACAGGAAGUUCACCAAGCCCCGCAACUUUGGUGAACUGUGCCAGAGGGUGGUGCGCAACUUUGACACCUACAACAGCAACUACACCUUCAUCUUCCUCGGCCUCAUCCUCUACUGCAUUAUCAGCUCUCCCAUGCUGCUGAUUGCUUUGGCAGUGUUUGUUGGUGCCUUCUACAUCAUCCACCUCAAGUCCCUGGAGUCUAAACUGGUCGUCUUUGG